rnacentral:rRNA from 1 species
AUUGAACGCUGGCGGCAGGCCUAACACAUGCAAGUCGAGCGGAUGAAGGGAGCUUGCUCCUGGAUUCAGCAGCGGACGGGUGAGUAAUGCCUAGGAAUCUGCCUGGUAGUGGGGGAUAACGUCCGGAAACGGGCGCUAAUACCGCAUACGUCCUGAGGGAGAAAGUGGGGGAUCUUCGGACCUCACGCUAUCAGAUGAGCCUAGGUCGGAUUAGCUAGUUGGUGGGGUAAAGGCCUACCAAGGCGACGAUCCGUAACUGGUCUGAGAGGAUGAUCAGUCACACUGGAACUGAGACACGGUCCAGACUCCUACGGGCGGCAGCAGUGGGGAAUAUUGGACAAUGGGCGAAAGCCUGAUCCAGCCAUGCCGCGUGUGUGAAGAAGGUCUUCGGAUUGUAAAGCACUUUAAGUUGGGAGGAAGGGCAGUAAGUUAAUACCUUGUUGUUUUGACGUUACCAACAGAAUAAGCACCGGCUAACUUCGUG